UUUUCGGCAGCCAAUGAGAGACGAGGAACUAGUGAAAUGUUCGAAGCGCUGGAAUUGAAAUCGUUCGACGUUUUACAAAGGUUACUCCGGGCUACCCUUCCUUUGAAUUUUCUGCACGGCAGAUUCGACAUUUUUCUUAAUUACUGAUUUUGAAUAGAGGUUGCUGCGAAAUAUAGAAGGAUGGAGGCUCCAAUCUUCAUAUACCCAUCGUGAUUCAGGUUUUCCGUGGUUUCUCUAAUUUAUUUCAAGUGGUUGCUACUGUAAGGCCACAGCCAACUACCUGUUGCAUCCUUGCCAUACUGUACUAUAUUGCAGAGAGGUCACCAGCAAUGGCCACCAUGAUGCAGUGAACAGAACACCUCAUUGUAGCCAAGAUUACUGAAAAGUAUCACUGAGGAAAAAUUCUGGAGGCAGCUAAAAUUUCCAGCAUACUGGACGCAUGGUUACAGAGUGGAAGAAACUGUAAUUGAACUUAAAGCCAAACAGAAUAGACUAGAAUAAUUUUCUUGUUGUUGGGCCAUUAAGGCAAUAGACAAAGUCAUACAUAUAAUACAAUACAUGUUGUAAUAGAACAAACAGAUAAGUAACAUCCCACCGGCUGUAUGUGGCAACUGAAGAAGCUAAAAAGUUAAUUAUGUAUGUAGAGAAUAUAUUACUAGUAUCAAAGACUUGGGAUGAACAUUGUAAUCUGUUAACAAGAAUUUUG